CUCGUUAGGGCUCCCUUGAAGGAGGGGAAGACCCCUGGAUCCCAGAUGUGCGUAGCCCUGAGGCCGUGCCAGGAGACCUGAGCCCAGGUGAGUUGCUGGAGGGAGGGAAGGAGGAGGCUGGGGCUGGAAGAGUCCUCUCUGUCUGU
rnacentral:lncRNA from 7 species